rnacentral:lncRNA from 1 species
UUUGAAGUGAUGUGAAUAAUCGUUAGUAAUAUGCGCAAAAGAUUAGUAAUAUAUGCAAAAGAUUCAAACUCAUAAUCUAAUAUGUACAAUCACAACGUUUAUCCUCUAAACCACCUUAUCACUCCUUUCAAAAUUAUAAGAUGAAACUCUUACUACUGAACCGACACACAAUAGAUAAAAUAAACAUUAUGCAUAAGGUGGACAUUAAAUUAUUGAUUGAAAGGUGGAAGUUUCUAUCUACACAUAUUCUUUUUAUAUAGAGUGAGAUUACUCCAUAAUCUCAAGCCAGAUGCAUAAAUUUUUAUUAUUACAUUGGAAAUGCAACUGGACAUUUUUUGAA